UACGUAGGCAGCGAGCGUUUGUUCGGAGUUACUGGGCGUAAAGGGUGUGUAGGCGGUUUUCUAAGUUUGGUGUGAAAUCUCCCGGCUCAACCGGGAGGGUGCGCCGAAAACUGGGAGACUAGAGUGCGGGAUGGGAGAGUAGAAUUCCUGGUGUAGCGGUGAAAUGCGUAGAUAUCAGGAGGAAUACCGGUGGUGUAGACGGCUCUCUGGACCGCCACUGACGCUGAGACACGAAAAGCGUGGGUAGCAAACAGG
rnacentral:rRNA from 1 species